rnacentral:rRNA from 1 species
GAUGAACGCUGGCGGCGUGCCUAAUACAUGCAAGUCGAGCGAAUGGAUUAAGAGCUUGCUCCUAUGAAGUUAGCGGCGGACGGGUGAGUAACACGUGGGUAACCUGCCCAUAAGACUGGGAUAACUCCGGGAAACCGGGGCUAAUACCGGAUAACAUUUUGAACCGCAUGGUUCGAAAUUGAAAGGCGGCUUCGGCUGCCACUUAUGGAUGGACCCGCGUCGCAUUAGCUCGUUGGUGAGGUAACGGCUCACCAAGGCAACGAUGCGUAGCCGACCUGAGAGGGUGAUCGGCCACACUGGGACUGAGACACGGCCCAGACUCCUACGGGAGGCAGCAGUAGGGAAUCUUCCGCAAUGGACGAAAGUCUGACGGAGCAACGCCGCGUGAGUGAUGAAGGCUUUCGGGUCGUAAAACUCUGUUGUUAGGGAAGAACAAGUGCUAGUUGAAUAAGCUGGCACCUUGACGGUACCUAACCAGAAAGCCACGGCUAACUACGUGCCAGCCGCCGCGGUAA